AUGGUAGUGCCUGCUCGAUGAUUGGAUGAUAAAUGGCCGCAGUAUUUUGACUGUGCGAAGGUAGCAUAAUUAAUUGCCUUGUAAUUGAAGGCUUGUUUGAAUGGUUUGACGUGGUAAGCACGAACAUCUAGGGAAUUUUUGAAAUUAAUUUAGAGGGCACAGAAUCCUCUGAUUUUAAUUAGACGGAAAGACCCCGGGAUCUUAUGAUUUUGUCUGGGGCAGAUGAAGGUUUUUCACCAUUAUUUGGACCCGAUUCGAUUAAUGAGGAAGUUACCCCGGGGAUAACAGUGUAAUAACUUAAAAGAGAUCUUAUCGAAUAAGUUGCUUGCUACCUCGAUGUUGACUUAGGUAUAUAAAUUUGGCGCAGUAGUUUAAUUUUUUGGUCUGUUCGA
rnacentral:rRNA from 1 species